ensembl:scaRNA small Cajal body-specific RNA 14
GUGGCUGUCUUCACCCUGGGCUGCAUUUGCUAGAAAUGGAAUGCAGCCGUGAGCAGCCACGAACAGUAAAGCAAAUGGUUCCUGCCGACAGGGUCUGUAGAGUGAUCAGAUUUUUCUGUGCGAUGGUUCCAUACAUU